rnacentral:rRNA from 1 species
GAUUGAACGCUGGCGGCAGGCCUAACACAUGCAAGUCGAGCGGUAACAUUUCUAGCUUGCUAGAAGAUGACGAGCGGCGGACGGGUGAGUAAUACUUGGGGAUCUGCCUGAUGGCGGGGGACAACCACUGGAAACGGUGGCUAAUACCGCAUAAUGCCUACGGGCCAAAGUGUGGGACCUUCGGGCCACAUGCCAUCAGAUGAACCCAAGCGAGAUUAGCUAGUUGGUGAGGUAACGGCUCACCAAGGCGACGAUCUCUAGCUGGUCUGAGAGGAUGAUCAGCCACACUGGGACUGAGACACGGCCCAGACUCCUACGGGAGGCAGCAGUGGGGAAUAUUGGACAAUGGGCGCAAGCCUGAUCCAGCCAUGCCGCGUGUGUGAAGAAGGCCUUCGGGUUGUAAAGCACUUUCAGUGGUGAGGAAGGCCUUGUCGUUAAUAGCGGCAAGGAUUGACGUUAGCCACAGAAGAAGCACCGGCUAACUCCGUGCCAGCAGCCGCGGUAAUACGGAGGGUGCGAGCGUUAAUCGGAAUUACUGGGCGUAAAGCGCACGUAGGCGGUUUGUUAAGCAAGAUGUGAAAGCCCAGGGCUCAACCUUGGAAUUGCAUUUUGAACUGGCAAGCUAGAGUUUUGAAGAGGGUGGUAGAAUUUCCAGUGUAGCGGUGAAAUGCGUAGAUAUUGGAAGGAAUACCAGUGGCGAAGGCGGCCACCUGGUCAAAAACUGACGCUGAGGAGCGAAAGCGUGGGGAGCAAACAGGAUUAGAUACCCUGGUAGUCCACGCCGUAAACGAUGUCAACUAGUUGUUCGUGUCUUUGAGACGUGAGUAACGCAGCUAACGCACUAAGUGACCGCCU